rnacentral:rRNA from 1 species
AGAGUUUGAUCCUGGCUCAGAAUAAACGCUGGCGGCGUGCCUAACACAUGCAAGUCGAACGAGAAAGCCCGGUUUCGACUGGGCGAGUAAAGUGGCGCACGGGUGAGUAACGCGUAGGCAACCUGCCCCUGUGUUCGGGAUAACAGUGCGAAAGCGCUGCUAAUACCGGAUGUGGCAAGGAAGCGAAGGUUUCUUUGUCAAAGUCGGCCUCUCGAUGAAGCUGACGCGCGGGGAUGGGCCUGCGUNCUAUCAGCUAGUUGGUAGGGUAACGGCCUACCAAGGCUUCGACGGGUAGCUGGUCUGAAGAGGAUGAUCAGCCACACUGGCACUUGAAACACGGGCCAGACUCCUACGGAAGGCAGCAGUGAGGAAUUUUGCGCAAUGGCCGCAAGGCUGACGCAGCAACGCCGCGUGGGUGAAGAAGGCCUUCGGGUCGUAAAGCCCUGUCAGGUGGGAAGAAUGGCCGGGGAGCGAAUAGUUUUCCGGAUUGACGGUACCACCAGAGGAAGCACCGGCUAACUCCGUGCCAGCAGCCGCGGUAAUACGGAGGGUGCAAGCGUUAUUCGGAAUUACUGGGCGUAAAGCGCGUGCAGGCGGGUGAGCAAGUCUGAUGUGAAAGCCCCGGGCUCAACCUGGGAAGUGCAUUGGAAACUGCACAUCUUGAGUGCUGGAGAGGAAGGGGGAAUUCCCGGUGUAGAGGUGAAAUUCGUAGAGAUCGGGAGGAAUACCAGUGGCGAAGGCGCCCUUCUGGACGGCAACUGACGCUGAGACGCGAAAGCGUGGGGAGCAAACAGGAUUAGAUACCCUGGUAGUCCACGCUGUAAACGAUGAGCACUAGGUGUAGCGGGUACUCAUUCCUGCUGUGCCGCAGCUAACGCGUUAAGUGCUCCGCCUGGGGAUUACGGUCGCAAGACUAAAACUCAAAGGAAUUGACGG